rnacentral:rRNA from 1 species
AUUGAACGCUGGCGGCAUGCCUAACACAUGCAAGUCGAACGGGGGUAGCAAUACCCUAGUGGCGGACGGGUGAGGAAUACGUAGGAAUUUGCCCUUAAGUGGGGGAUAGCCCGGGGAAACCCGGAUUAAUACCGCAUGAACUCGUGAGAGCAAAGCAGGGGAUCGCAAGACAUUGCGCUUUUGGAGCAGCAUACGUCGGAGUAGCUAGUUGUUAGGGUAAUGGCCUACAAAGGGAACGAUCCGUAACUGGUCUGAGAGGAUGAUCAGUCACACCGGAACUGAGACACGGUCCGGACUCCUAAGGGAGGCAGCAGUGGGGAAUAUUGGACAAUGGGCGAAAGCCUGAUCCAGCAAUGCCGCGUGUGUGAAGAAGGCCUUCGGGUUGUAAAGCACUUUAGGUUGGGAAGAAAAAACUCGGGCUAAUACCCUGAGUCUUGACGGUACCGACAGAAUAAGCACCGGCUAACUCUGUGCCAGCAGCCGCCGUAACAC